AAGUGAGCUGCCCCAUGGAUAACGUGGUGCCUGCCUCGGCGUGCGUGUAGAAGAAGGUCCAGCUAGCAAGCCAGAAUCGAGGGAUUCAAAGAAACGGAAAAGGGAUACUGUACACUGAGGUGGAGGCUUUUUUUGGAGACCGUAUCCAUCGGGGACUGAAAGGAAGAUGUGGACAUAAUUCAGAAGAUACAUUUGGAGCAGCUGUCGUUCUGCUGGUUGACAGAAGGACUAGACAGAAGAGACUUCAUGAACAGACUGUUGAGUGAGUUUGAGACUUGGCUGGACUGCUCUCCUCAGCGGGUAGUGAUCCAUGGUACAGCCUGCAGCUGGCGUGGUGCUCUCAAAUCAUGAGUAAGUUAAACCCACUAGUAGGGUACAUUAAGAGGGAUCGGGCCCAGCA
rnacentral:lncRNA from 1 species